rnacentral:rRNA from 1 species
UACAGAGGAGCCAAGCGUUGUCCGGAUUGACUGGGCGUAAAGCGCACGCAGGCGGUUGCGCGCGUGGGGUGUGAAAUCUGGCCGCUUAACGGCCAGGCGCCAUCCCAUACGGCACAACUGGAGGGCUGCAGGGGUCGAUGGAAUUGCCGGUGUAGUGGUGAAAUGCGUAGAUAUCGGGAGGAACACCUGUGGCGAAGGCGGCUCUCUGGGACGGUACUGACGCUGAGACGCGAAAGCGUGGGGAGCGAACAGG